GGGAAUGAUGGUACCUGCAGUGGUCUCUGGGCAGUUUGGGAUUGCAAUUGUCGAUGGAAAUGCAGCCUAGAAUGCUAUUUAUGAUCC